CGUUUGGUGGAGUCCCCAUUGCUUUGUUAAAGCCUUGCUCUAGCAAGCAUAUGGAGCCCGUAGCGGACGAGAAGUGUUCAGCCGCUGCACGUCCUGCAAACACCGCUAGAGGCCAGCACUGGACCUCUGCUGUAAUCUCACACACUCUCGUGGUUCAGACCUUCAGAGAUCUUCUGCAGUCUGGAGAGCAUCUGGGCCAGUUUCUGCUGCCGCUCAGCCAGCUCCCCCCGACCAGAGAAGUCUACUCUGAACAGAGCCAUGAUGGAGUCGAUGAUCUGGCAACAGGGAGGAGCAGACAAGAAGGCAGACUCAAAGGCUGAAAGCCGGGAAGGAUUCCUUCUUUUAGAACUUAUGCCUGAUGUUUAACUCUUACAUUUCCUUGAAAACGAAACAAAAAUUGUUCAGUCUAAAUCUCCAACAUGUGGAGAGAAUGACUCAGGCAGAGGAAGAAGUAAAAACCAAAGAAAUGAUGAGUAUGUCACAA